rnacentral:lncRNA from 1 species
UUGGAUCCCUAUCUAACACUGUACAUAUAGAAGAUAUUUUUGACCAUGAUAAGGAAAGACUUUAUAAGAAUUAGAAAGUAUGACCAUAAAGAAAAAGACUGGUAAAUUCAAGUACACUGAAAUUAAUUAAAUUUAAUUAACUUAACCCUCUGAUAAUCAAAAAAGAUACUAUAAAGAGAAUGAAAAGGCAAGCCACAAAGUGGAAGAUAUUUGCAACUCGUAUUCUGAGUUAUACCUACAAUAUAUAAAGAACUUCUGUGAAUUAGUAAGAAAAAAUAUUUAAAAAAGGAGCAAAGGAGUUCCCGUCGUGGUGCAGUGGUUAACGAAUCCGACUAGGAACCAUGAGAAACUCCCUGAUGUUAUUAUUUUUAGAAAUAGAAGUAAAACAUCUCUGGCCCUUGAGCAGGCUCUGGUCCUAAUACAGUGGCACCACCAUUCUUUGUGGGAGGUGGCUCCCUGGAUCUAGUUAGGGUCUCCACACGGCCUUGUCUUCUGUUCCCCUGGCCUCCCCUAGGCUGACAGAAAGAAGCUGCCUUUCUGGUCAACGCAUGGCUAGCUCAAGCAGAUCCAGAUGAGGACUGUGCACAGGUCAUCUCUGUUGUCCCUUCCUUUCAAACACCGUCAAGCAUCAGCAAAGCAGCAGUAUGGGACUGGAGAGCAGCCAGGGCCUGUGGGGAUCAGUUUGUUUUGGCCCAUCAAGGAUGGGGCUUCAGUCUGGGCACCACCCAGGCUUAAAGGCAAAGUUCUCUCAUAGAACAGAUCCCUGCUUGUUAUCAUUCCCACUCAAGUCCCAGACAAAAUUCCCAUUGCCCCAGGGGACUGACAAAGGGAGAUGGGCCAGGGGGUCGAGUGGACUGAGGCCCUAAGUAGAAUAUGGUCCAAAAACUUUAAAAUAAUUUCCCUGAGUCACAAGCCCAUGGAGAACUAGACUUGGCAUUGAGAGGGGCUCAGAGCAAAUCUGUUGAUCCAGCACCAAAGAGAACACAGCCUAUGGACCAGGGGGCAAGGCUGAUGUCCACAGGAACACUGACCCCCCAAAAAACCAAGGUUCAGCUUUGGAGCCACUCCUCCCAACAUGGCCCAUCCCAAGGCUUGAAUGCUGACAGCCCAGCCAAAGAGCCCCACACAAAGGAUGACCCAGAGAGGGGUCCUGACUCCCUGAGUUAUUUUCCAAAAGAACAUGGAGUCACAGAGAGGCUAAGGGAGUUGGCAAGGGCCACACAGCCAGUCACAGGCCAUUGACCUGAGGCUUCAACCUGGAGCCAUCCUUUGAAAAGCUCAGCCCUUCUAGUGGGGAGGGCAGAACUCUGAGGAGACACUGCAAGAAGGAUGGGGACUCAGGACGAAAGUAGACAAAUAAACCGCAUCAAGCACAGUCUCCCUCAGCCCUAGAGUAAAGAUGCCACUACAGUCAAGGAAAUACUCCAGCCCAGAGCCAGCAAGGGCUGUCCUAUAAGGGGAAAGGGCCCCCAAAUCCAAAGGCUUGAAAAGCACAGGUAGAGGCCUCAGCAGAUCUCAUGCAAGUCUACCACAAGCUCCCAAAUCCACCAAAAGGAAGUGAGGUGGGUGUUCCAGAGAUUGGGAAGCUCCUGGUUCAUCCCUAACCUGAAGCCAGUGGCUGGAUUCCCUGUGUGGACUAGGGCAGCUGGGGUACAUUCAGAGGAAGGCUGUAGGGCUGGCCUGGGCUUAAAGACUUACUUCACAGAAAGAGGACGAGCUAGUCUGCCCCCUUAAAGGUCCAAAAAAGAUCAUUAUAAUUUACUCUGAAAUCCCCCUCCUGAGAAUUUACCCAAAGAAGGAAAAGGCUGUGAGCAAAAAGGAGGUCACCAUAGGGUUGUUUAUAAAGAAACAGACACUGGAAGAUUUAAGUGGCCAGCAAGAAUGCUGCCCUUGCCAGGCAGUCUGGCAGCCCUUAAAUCCAGCAAGGCUGAGCACUGAGAUGGAAAGCCAGGGGUGCUUAGAGUCCAUUUUCUCCUUAACAGACUGCAGAGAUCCUGGUUAAGAACAUACAAAAGCUCUAGGGUGAGAAAUCCUGGACAGAUGGAAGACUGUUCGUCUAUGAAAUGGGGCUAGUUUCACUCAUGCCUCCUGAAUGUGAGGGUAGGAUGUGAUGACUUAGGCACACACCUUGUGGCCCAGUCCAGAUGAGUGCUCAAGAAAUAGCAGCUCAAGCAAAUAAAAAUGGAGUUUUUAAUCACACCCAGGACCCACUAAAAAACAAAACUGACUGUUUUUGUGGUUGGCGAGGGUUCAGGAAACAAGCAAGAUGGAAGUCUAUUGUUGGAAAGCAAUUUGACAGCAUCCACCAAAGCCUUAAAUGCACAUUCUCCAAGAACAGAAAUUUUACUACAAAGAACUUGACCUCUGCAUGUCUUUGGAAUAUUAUGCCAAAACAUGGUUGUGACAGCACAGACUGUAAUAAUCAUAUACAAAGCUGGUCUACCAAUAGCAGGUUACAGAAACUGUGCCAUCCACAGAAUGGGAUUCUGUGGAACUGUUAAAAGGAGGAAAAGCACAAUGACACCUCUGGCAGGAAUUCCUGCAUGAACAGCACAACUUAGUAUAGCUUUCAUUAGGUAAAAGCUCAAACUUUUUUUUAAAUGAUUUUUAUUUUUUCCUUUAUAGUUGGUUUACGCCAACUGUUUUCCUAAAUGCAGUACAAGAAAACUUAUUUGGAGGAAUUCCUGAUGCGGCAUAACAGGAUUAGCAGUGUCUUGGGAGCCCUGGGACACAGGUUUGAUCCCCAGCCCAGCACAGUGGGUUAAGGAUCCAGUGUUGUUGCAGCUGUGGCCUCGAUGGCAAUUGGCAGCUCAGAUCUGAUCCCUGACCCAGGAACUGCACAUGCUUCAGGGCAGCCAAAAAGAAAUUUAUUUGGAGAGAAAAACUGGGGGUACAGUAGAGACUGGGGAGUAGAGAUAUUUUUUACUUUUCUCUCUGAAUUUUUUUAACCAUGUGUACGUUUAUGUAACACAGACAUAUCAAACACAUGUGUUAAUGGCAGAAUUACAAGCCACAAAUUUUUGGGGAU